ensembl:snoRNA
ACUCUCUCAUUCUGCAUGGUCACACUAAGCCUCAUCCGUGUGACUUUCGUACAGGGAGAGAUAGAAAAGAGCUCCUCAGGACUCUGGGGUGGCCUGCCUGUGGCCUCUCUUUCCUGUUGGAGCACAACAGGU